rnacentral:lncRNA from 1 species
GAACUAAGGACGGAGGCCUCAUCCUUUUGCAGUUAAUGAGAAAACAAAUAGAAUCCAAGUCUGGAGAUGGAAGAGGAGACUGCCUCUACAAAUCAUCUUUCUCUGCAGAAAUGUCUGUCUGAGAAAGUGAUGAGAGAGAUACAGUUCUAAGUGAAGGAGAUCCUGAUACUUUAUGGAAAUCUGUAAAGAUUCUGGGAACCCAUCAAAGGUAAUAUCAACUACGGAUUACGAGGU